GACGAACGCUGGCGGCGUGCUUAACACAUGCAAGUCGAGCAGAAAGGCCACUUCGGUGGUACUCGAGCGGCGAACGGGUGAGUAACACGUGAGUAAUCUGCCCCUGGCUUUGGGAUAGCCACCGGAAACAGUGAUUAAUACCGGAUACGACCACUUCUUGCAUGGGAUGGUGGUGGAAAGUUUUUUCGGCCAGGGAUGUGCUCGCGGCCUAUCAGCUUGAUGGUGAGGUAAUGGCUCACCAUGGCUUCGACGGGUAGCCGGCCUGAGAGGGUGACCGGUCACACUGGGACUGAGACACGGCCCAGACUCCUACGGGAGGCAGCAGUGGGGAAUAUUGGACAAUGGGCGGAAGCCUGAUCCAGCAACGCCGCGUGAGGGAUGACGGCCUUCGGGUUGUAAACCUCUUUCAGCAGGGACGAAGCGCAAGUGACGGUACCUGCAGAAGAAGCGCCGGCCAACUACGUGCCAGCAGCCGCCGUAA
rnacentral:rRNA from 1 species